CACACAAAUGACGCCCCAUAUUCCAGAUCUGAAGCAUUCAACUCACAACUUGACCCUUGCCUCCACGACUUCCGUAACCGAUUCAGUAAUUACCCAUGUAUCAUAAAGUCGAUCAUCUAUAAUAACCUGUUUACUCCAUCAUUUUUCAUCUUCACAUCCUUUCAUCACACUCCACCCUCCCCCUCGUUCUCUCUCCAUUUGCCACCGGAGAGGAACUCGACGCAGCAUCAUUUUGUUCACCAGGCACGUCGUAUUGUUUCGAGAUUCACCGGGUUCUUGAAGUAAACCGACUCGCCGGAGAGCCCAAAGUCGUCGGAACCCAUUGGAACACGUCGAAGCCGCCGGAGAUCGGAGAACAAACCGGAGAAUCCUGUUGCCGCGUUUGGAUAACCAUCACGUUUGUUCUCUCGGAUUUUCCCAAUCUUUACUCGUACGUUCUUACAAGAAAUCGCAACGCAAUCAAUGUUGAUAGCCACGUUGUUGAAGAAACAAGUUUAGGGUGGACUAGAAACUCACCUACAAAAUAAACCAUGUUUGAAUAACUGUUUCUUGUUUGAUUGAUUUGAACGAUGUAUGAAAUUUUAGUAUUUUAUGAAAUUUGAUUUUAAUUA